AAUUAAUCCAAUAAAAAGGGUAAAAUUUGCUGGAAAUGUUCAUGAACAAAGUCCUAGGAAUGAUGAUUUUAUUAUAUCUGCAAAUGACUCAGUACGAAAUCAUCAAAAAAAAUCCGGAGAUGAUCAUGAUCAUGUUGGCACUUUUGAUGACCAAAUAAAGACACGGUCUAUGUCUGGAGCACUAAUUAGGCUCAAUGAAGUAGCUUCUGAACGGUAUGAUCGGAAUUUCAAUUUAAAAGCAUCGAGAAAUGAAACAUCUCAUGAUGAAAUCAAAAGACAGCCAACAUCGUCGAAACAUCAGGCAAUAGCUACAGUCAAAAAAUCGCUACCAAAACAUGCAACGAGUGUUCAAAUUGGUGA